rnacentral:tRNA from 1 species
UGGGGAAUAGCCAAGUUGGUAAGGCACAGGAUUUUGAUUCCUGGAUGCGAAGGUUCGAGCCCUUCUUCCCCAGCCA